rnacentral:lncRNA from 1 species
CAGGAGUUCGAGAUCAGCCUGACCAACAUGGUGAAAUUCCAUCUCUACUAAAAAUACAAAAAAUUAGCUAGUCAUGGGUGCGUGCGCCUGUAAUCUCAGGUACUUGGGAGGCUGAGGCGGGAGAGUUGCUUGAACCUGGGAGGUGGAGGUUGCAGUGAGCUGAGAUCAUGCCACUGCACUCCAGCCUGGGCAACAGUGAGACUGCCUCAAAAAUAAAUAAAUAAAAUUUAUUGUUUGUCUGUCUCUCCCUCUAGAAAAGAAGCUCCACGAGGGACAGGAAUAUCUGCGAGUAUAGCUCCCUGAUGUUUUCCAAGUGCCUGGAACAGUUUUGGCCCAUAGUAGGCUCUCCAUAUAUAUUUGCUGAAUGAAUGAAUGAACCUGCUCAUUUCUCAAUGUACUGCUUGUGUCUGCCAUCAACGUUACUGGAAUCUCAAUCCCAGUUUUGCCACCAAUCAGCUGUGCAAACUAUGGGCAAGUUUUCUAACUUUUUGGAGCCUCUGCUUCUUCAUCAGUAAAAUGGAAUAAGAGAAGUACCCAUCUCACAGGGUUUUAGGAGGAUGAGAUGUGACAACCAGUGCACAGAGAGAUUAAGUAACUUGCUGUCCAGCUGGUGUGUGGUGGAGCCCAGGGUGAACCCCAGGUGGCCUCUAAAGCAUUGUCUUCCAACGUGCAAUGGAGUGUGAAAUGUGGAAGCCGUGGGAAAGCACAGGAAAUCAGCCGUGGAAGAAGCAAUGGUUGGAUUUAUCCCGUGGCGACACCCACCACAGCUGCAUUCCGGGAGGAAGUUGCAGAUAGGAGAGCUUGAAACAGAUUUGUUUUCCCUUCCACUAUGCGAGUCAGCUGAGUUGGAUUCAAAAGGUUGUUCCGCAGAUAUUAAAAGUGAGAAUUGGGAUGCCUGGAACAGCGUGGGAAACACUCGUGGGUCACAUGCUCGGAUCUGCACUCUCACUUCUGGGAAUCAGUUCUACGGAAACAUUUGCACAGAUGUAUGUGUAUGGAUGUAUGGUGGCAUGGUGGCACUGUGUGUGAUAAAUAUUGGAAAUCUUCUAAUCGCCUGGCAAUGGAGGGGUACGUGA